rnacentral:other from 1 species
UUAAGUCUCGGAUGUUCGCUAGCUUUCAACUAUGUCUAACCUACAUUACUUACAGGGAAUCCGAAUUGAUUUCGCCGGAUGUUGGAUCGCCUAAGAGCGAAGAACAGAAAGCGGACUUAGGGCACCCACCUGCCACACGCAGGUUUUAGACAUAAGAAAGUACCGGCAUCUUGGACUCUUC